rnacentral:rRNA from 1 species
GACGAACGCUGGCGGCGUGCCUAAUACAUGCAAGUAGAACGCUGAAGGAGGAGCUUGCUUCUCUGGAUGAGUUGCGAACGGGUGAGUAACGCGUAGGUAACCUGCCUGGUAGCGGGGGAUAACUAUUGGAAACGAUAGCUAAUACCGCAUAAUAGUAGAUGUUGCAUGACAUUUGCUUAAAAGGUGCAAUUGCAUCACUACCAGAUGGACCUGCGUUGUAUUAGCUAGUUGGUGGGGUAACGGCUCACCAAGGCGACGAUACAUAGCCGACCUGAGAGGGUGAUCGGCCACACUGGGACUGAGACACGGCCCAGACUCCUACGGGAGGCAGCAGUAGGGAAUCUUCGGCAAUGGACGGAAGUCUGACCGAGCAACGCCGCGUGAGUGAAGAAGGUUUUCGGAUCGUAAAGCUCUGUUGUAAGAGAAGAACGAGUGUGAGAGUGGAAAGUUCACACUGUGACGGUAUCUGAACAGAAAGGGACGGCUAACUACGUG